GUGCUCGCUUCGGUAGCACAUAUACUAAAAUUGGAACGAUACAGAGAAGAUUAGUAUGGCCCCUGUGCAAGGAUGACAUGCAAAUUCGUGAAGCAUUCCAUAUUUUA
ensembl:snRNA U6 U6 spliceosomal RNA